GAUGAACGCUGGCGGCGUGCCUAAUACAUGCAAGUCGAGCGAACGGACGAGAAGCUUGCUUCUCUGAUGUUAGCGGCGGACGGGUGAGUAACACGUGGAUAACCUACCUAUAAGACUGGGAUAACUUCGGGAAACCGGAGCUAAUACCGGAUGAUAUUUUGAACCGCAUGGUUCAAAAGUGAAAGACGGUCUUGCUGUCACUUAUAGAUGGAUCCGCGCUGCAUUAGCUAGUUGGUAAGGUAACGGCUUACCAAGGCAACGAUGCAUAGCCGACCUGAGAGGGUGAUCGGCCACACUGGACCUGAGACACGGUCCAGACUCCUACGGGAGGCAGCAGUAGGGAAUCUUCCGCAAUGGGCGAAAGCCUGACGGAGCAACGCCGCGUGAGUGAGGAAGGUCUUCGGAUCGUAAAACUCUGUUAUUAGGGAGAACAUAUGUGUAAGUAACUGUGCACAUCUUGACGGUACCUAAUCAGAAAGCCACGGCUAACUACGUG
rnacentral:rRNA from 1 species